UUUCCAGUGAUGGAGACUGGCAAGGAAAUCAGCAAGUGUUAUGACUGAGGCCUGCACAGGCCGUGUGGGAACUCGGAGAAAGGUAUCUAUCGUGUUUCAUCUACCAUCAAAUAACAUCAUGUUUCAUGUUUUUAUAUCCUCUUUCUCACUUCAGCUCACAAUAAAACUACCACUCAGGAGCCUUGGAGCUGUGUUUCCUGAACACGACAUGCCUACCUUGCUCCCCUUCCAACUUCCUGAGCUGGCUCUGCCAACCUGCCACUUGAUGGUAGUCUGAUACUCUUCUGUACGGACAGCCUACAAAUGUGCUCAAGAUAUCAGACAUCACAUAAAAUCCUGUGUGGCAAGCGAAACAAAAAUGAUUCCCAUGUCAGAGACGAAGAAAAUGACUCUUAGAAGGAGAAUGCACUGGAGAGGAGCCUCUGCAGAUUAUGUUUAUGCUUGUUUGUACUGGAGAACAUGGAAGAGCAUCGCAGGAGAAAUUGUGCCUCCUUCACCAUCCAGGCUGGGUUGGGGGUGGGGAAAGGGGUCGGAGUGGAGCUAUGUAGUGGUGGCGGCUCGCAUAAGGAGAAGGAAGUUCUGGCUGAGGUUCUGUGACUUGGUGCAGGAAAGAAAGCAGAAUAUGGAAGAUCUGUCUGACUCUGAAAAGUGGCACCUGGACCCAGCAGAUGGAAAGCUCCUGGGAAGCUCUCCAGUACUGAAGGGACAAAUCUUGGCAAAUCCAUUAGCUGUCUUUGUGACCUUGGAAGUUUAUCUUAAGCCUCUUUGUGCCUCAGCUUCUGUAAAAUAGGUAUAAUAAUAGAGUUGUGAAAAUAAAAACCUCAGUAUAUGCA
rnacentral:lncRNA from 13 species